rnacentral:lncRNA from 1 species
UUUAUGUAUUUUAUGUUUAUUUAGGAUAUUUGUAUUUGUUUAUAAGUUGUAUAACUUAAUUUUCAUUAUAUCUUUCAAUAUAUUUUAAUUUCAUGGACUUUACAAAUUUUUUAAAAAAUUUUGCGCCGCGACAGGCCGUUACCGUUACGUUAUGACCGUUACAGGCCUGUUUCCGUUACAGGCGACCACGACCGCGAACGCGGCCGCGACCGCGAUUUGAAACCAUGCUACUAUAUUACCUGAUAAAAUCUCAUACAUGAUCACAUGAUAAGACAAAAACAUAAACAUUUCAUGAACCAAGGCUCGACUUGUGCAUGUAUCAAACUGAAAACAUAAACCUAUACUAGAGUUCUCAUCAAAUGCUCCAGUAUGGUAAACAUCACAUGCCUCAAACUUAGUUCAAACAUAACUCAUAAUUAAAACUUGUACAUAAAGAUCAUGAAGACAGGGAUUACUAGAUAACCACUAGGGCAAAGCACAAUUCUAAAACCAUAACAAAAAUAAUACAUGUCCACACCUAUACUAUUAUAAAGGACUAUACUAGCAACUCAACCGGCUUCCCCGAGCUAAUUCUAAUCCUGCAAACCUGGGGUUAGGGGAAAUGAGUAAGCUACAAGAGUCUAGUGAGCAGAACAUAAAAACAGUUUAAUAAACAUAUGGUCAGAUGAAAUGCGUCACAACACAAAUAAUUCACAUCAAGAUGGAUUUGUCACCAGUAACCCUCUACAAAUUCCAAUAGCACCCGGCUCAGGACGGAUGCUCCUCAGGACUUCCUCUUAAACAUAGCAUAAUGUAUCCAUAAUGCCAGGGGCGUAGAAUGGGUCUCGACCUGGACUUUCUCUUACAUAUUGCCAGGGGCGUAGAAUGGGUCUCGACUUGGACUUCCGUAUACAUCAUAACAUAUCAUACUCGAGGGCUAGUGGGUCAUCCAACAUCCAUCCACAACAACAGUAAAUUAUGCAAUGCAUCAUAUUCGUGAAUUUUAAUGCAAACAACCUAAUACAUAUUCAUGGCAUUCAUGAUGCAUGAGCAUGCUUAAAAGGUUUGAUUUCUUUUAAAAUAAAAGAUCAGUUCAGUUCUACUCACCUCUGGCUGACGUUCGCCUAACUUUAACGCAGCUAUCUCACUGCAGGCCUCUAUGGUCUCCCAGGUUCGAUCCUACACAGAUGGACUCAAUGAGGGACCAAACAUAACCUUUGCAAGACUCUAAACAACCCCGCAAAAGCCCCCCUUAAAACAUACCAAAACAUGCAUAUAAAACAAGCAGGGGAAUGCUGUGCAGGGGACUUUCGGUGGCAGAUUCGGUGGCCGAAGGUCCCUCACAGAUCCGAAAGUCAGUGACGUUCGGGGGCAGGUUGGGCGGCCUAAACCCUUCUCAGAUCCGAAAGUCAGCAACUUUCGGGGGCAGAUUCGGCGACCUAAACCCCUUCACAGGUCCGAAAGUCCAUACUUUCGGGGGCAGUUUAGGCGGCCAAAAGGCUGCCUUUGCCUGCAGGUUCGGCAGCCGAACCUGGGUUUUCCAGUUUAGGCAGAACCCAAAAUUGUUCUAGCAUUUAGCCUCCUAAAAGUCUCCAAACAGACACAAAACGCACAUGCAAGAACCCAAAAGCUACCAUAAACAUCUAACACACAUAUGGAACCUCAAAGCUUGCCUCAAACUCAACAUGCAUCACAGAUUUCCAAGAGGAAAGCAUUUAUCAUUAAACUUGACCAUAAAGCCUUAGAAUAAACAAUCAUGCAUCAACAACCCAUUAAACCCUCAAAACACUUAUUGAAAAACUUCUGAAAAUCUAUGAAAGGCAAGGGUUUUAAACUUACCUCUUGGACUCCCAAAGGUGACGGCAACCCAACUUGGAGAAGAAGGGAAAAACGAUCUCCGAAGGUCUCCUAGGUUUAAAUCUUUAGAUUUGAACUCAAGUCUUCAAAACCAUAGAAUAAAACAUGAAAACUUUGAGGGAUUUUGAGAAAAACAGCAAAAGAGACCAAAAUUGUGCAUGCAACCACCUCUGCCCGAAAAUGGAGAAGGAAACCUCACACUUUCGGGCUGGUGGCUUUUUAUAGGUGGCUGAGGAAACCACGUUCGGCGGCCGAACCUUGUGGUUCCUCAAACACCCUUUUUCUCUUCUUUCUUUUAAUAGGAAAAUUAAAAACUUUAAAAAAACAAACAUUCGUGAAAAUCUUAUUUUACCCUUCUAAAGAUUCCCGCGUCGAGAUUUCGGAUUCUGAUGGAGAUUCCGUCGGAAGGUGGGAAUUCCGAUGCCGGAGUUUAGUCGGGUAUUACAGUCUUUCAGGCUUUUUUAUACCUCUAUCCGUUUUUUUGGUGAUUCGGCUCUCUUGUGUGUACAACUUUGCGUAAUCCAUAUUCUUUCACGGUUCAUUUGUCUUUAUCAUGGCAGAAGGUAAAAGGGUCUCGAUUUCUAACUCUGAUAAUCCUUCUUUGCAA